UCCCAUGAACGACAAUCAACAAGUCAGUUUCUACUAAAGAUAUCACUUCGUGUAUGUCCUACUGUAGCCGUAUUGCUAGUACUUAGGAAUAACUUCAGGCAACGUGGAUGGUCUAACUCGUAACAUACAACGCCGGUCUCUGUAGCUCGCGGGCUAAACACGUUAAAGAAAUACUUCUCUUUACGUUUUUUGGUCUCGUUUCUUUUCUUGCAGCUUUAAUGACUCCGGUGACUACCUCGACCUCAGGAUUGGUAGUGAAGACGAAGAAUUCUUCGGUGAAGUUUAACAUCACGUGCCUUCUCGGAAAUCCACGGCCCAGCGUCCGAAUUCUCCGCGUGAGUCAGCAGCAGCGUCACGUGACCCGCCAAAAGAGCGACUGCCCACACCGGAGUUCCAGGGCCUUGUCUGCACCGUACCACCAUCGCUCUUCCUCGAGCAGCCCUCGGGAGGAUGAUGUGCCGCAGAUGAACUUCCACGCCGAGAACUGCGAAAGAAAAUCAGUGUUCUCGGCUGCCAUCGAUAGCGAAUGGCCGCAGAUGGCACCGCAGAUCGUUGAUUUCCCACGGGGAGCCCAAGUCGUGAGGCGCCGGCGCCCGAGCGGCGGGUGGCGUCAAGCUUCGCACCCUUGGCUGGCCGUGGUGCAAUGGUGCCGCUGUGCCGUCGAGAGGUAUUGCGCCGUUGUGUUCGUGGUGGUUGACGGCGACGCACUUCGCUUCCAACUAUUGUGUGCUGCUGACCACGUGACACGUACAGCGGCGCACGACGAGAAGCCCGGUAUGCCACGCAGCGACACUCGGUGCUCCUUUCCUCACCAAGUGCUACGUGCGGGAAAGCAGCUACCUUGCAGUCAUCUGAUCGAGAGUGCCUCGCAGACUUCUGCCGUCACGCUCCCAGUGGCGGAAGACGACGAACACUGUUGCGAGCUGCGGGGCCCGCUCGGCAGACGUGCACUUCUGUCGGGAACGCUGCCUGUCAAAAGGCCACCUGCUGCGUUUCUUCUGAAAUAUGGCGAAGUUGGGAGCUGUGCGUUGUACUGAGCAUCGACAGGCUCAGCUAGCACUGGGCCAGAGUUUUUAUAGAUCUGACGGCGCCGGGCAGACAGGGUUGCGCAGCGCACUUUUAUGCUGCAGCCUAUUUUUGCCUAGGAGGCGCCUCGUGAUUUACCCUAACCCAAUUGAGGGUAUGAUGACUGUUAGGUCGUAUUGGGCAUUUAGUAGCUUUCUUCGAGUAUGGUAGUAACGCUUUCGCACAAUCCUUUAUAUUUGGCAAGAAGGGAUAAAUUUUCUACGUGGACAAAGAAUUGCUGCUUGUUUGACUCAUGCAUAUUCGCUACUGGUGGGUGUCAUCCUCAAGCGUCGAGGUCCCAUAUUAUACACGCACCUGGCCGGAAACGCGCAUCUAUCAAUUUUGCCCGUAUGGGUAUACGCGGCGGCAGCUGCUGUCUGCCUCCCACAACAGCGCUGGAUGCUCUACUUGAAAGCCGUCUCUGGUUGGAAACUGGCUAUGCGCCAGUGCUUGGAAGAUAAGACUUGGCCAGUCCCACAUAGCAGGUAGGAGCCACAUGCGUUAUGGGAGACAGCACCAACAACCUCUCUGAUACACCAAGGAUAUGAGAAGGCUGUUCUUUUCUCUAGGGUUGAGUUCAGGAAGCUGCGGCACAUCAUUACUGAUCCGGCUUGCGACCCACGAUGCCGUCCCGGUGGCUGACUGAGCGUGCUACUACAUAAGGUAGAAGCACUUCCGGUCUGUUUCCAGGACGACGGCACCGGAGCAAAAUGAAGAAAGUGAAGGUAUGAUACUACUACGGUAUACUUUGGGGUGUACAAAUACGAGAAAUCAACCAGUGGCGAGUGUAUGGAACGGUAGCGACCUGAAUGGGAUGAGAACAGUCAUCUCUGAUCAACUUGCGCGUGCGAUGAUGUGCUCGGCCAGUGUUCGAUUUGGUCGCAUUUCAUAUUCAGAACUGUGAGUUUCUCUAUAACCAUCCGCCUUCUGCAAGCCUCGCGUAGCCGCGCCCAUGGCUUACAGAGCAUGGUGACGUGCACGAGGAUCCGCGGUUAUCAGAGGUAUGACGAAACACCCCAACGCUCG